rnacentral:rRNA from 1 species
AUUGAACGCUGGCGGCAGGCUUAACACAUGCAAGUCGAGCGGGGUGAUGGUGCUUGCACUAUCACUUAGCGGCGGACGGGUGAGUAAUGCUUAGGAAUCUGCCUAUUAGUGGGGGACAACAUCUCGAAAGGGAUGCUAAUACCGCAUACGUCCUACGGGAGAAAGCAGGGGAUCUUUAUGAGCUUGCGCUAAUAGAUGAGCCUAAGUCGGAUUAGCUAGUUGGUGGGGUAAAGGCCUACCAAGGCGACGAUCUGUAGCGGGUCUGAGAGGAUGAUCCGCCACACUGGGACUGAGACACGGCCCAGACUCCUACGGGAGGCAGCAGUGGGGAAUAUUGGACAAUGGGGGGAACCCUGAUCCAGCCAUGCCGCGCGUGUGAAGAAGGCCUUAUGGUUGUAAAGCACUUUAAGCGAGGAGGAGGCUCUUUUGGUUAAUACCCAGAAUGAGUGGACGUUACUCGCAGAAUAAGCACCGGCUAACUCUGUGCCAGCCGCCGCCGUAA